rnacentral:lncRNA from 1 species
UCCAGCCUGAGUGACAGAGUGAGACUCAACUAUAAACAAACAAACAAACAAACAAAUAAAUAAAGGGCCUCCUUGGAGGCCCAACACAUCAGGGACAUCUCAUCCACCGCUUACUCCUCCCAAGCCCAGCAGAGCAGGGAGGGUGGCGGAGCAUUUGCCCAGUGUGCACGGCUAAUGCCAUCCCGUCCACGUGAUCAAGUGGUACCUGGAAGAACCUGACAAGGCAGCUCCAGACUAAGGACAAGUCAACCCCUUUUCUAGCCUGUUUCCUCAUGGUGAACUGACAGGGUGGGACUAGAACUCACAAGUGGCCAGGCCAGCAUUGGAAGCCAGCUCUGCCUGCCCGCACAGGCCUGGACGCCCAGCCACAACCUGGUGUCCCCUCUGCCCAGCUCUCGCCUUGGCUCUCAAUCAUUAAUGAAGAUGUGAAGUGAGACACCAAUCCUCACAGCCCCCACCACGUGCUCCCUCCCAUGCCUGGCGCUGCUGGAGUCAUUAUCCUUCCUGGUGUGACAGGGUCAGAACCAAACCAAUUUGCAUCAGUCUUUGGUGAUGUUGUGAAGCGUCGCCUGCCCUGCAAUCCUGCUGCUGUAACAACUGCUUCAGCUGUCUGUUCUGGAGUGCUCUUCGCUCCUUUGGAAGACUGAUCAGAUCUGGCCACCCCAGUUCUGGCUGAAAGCCCUAGAGCGACCGCAAUGGUAGGGCAGGAUUCAGGGCUACACAUGGCUGACAUUGUUCCUUCUUCGUUUUGCUCUUCUGAGCUGGACAGAAAGCAGUCCCUCUUUGGAAAACAGGAUGGACAAGUGCAUACAUUAGUGGAGGACGCAGCAGAUGUGGCAGGCAUAGAAUUUUACUCAUUGCUCCAUCUAUUUCUAUCAAGGAAAAUGGGGAGUGCUCCCAAUUUCCGCCCAUUUUCUAGCCCAGGCCUAGUCAGAUGUGUGGGCUUGUAUAUUCUGGGAACCUGGGGCUGAUGUGGUCAAGUCACUUCUUGGGGACAAGGUCAAUUCUUCUCCAUUUUCUCAUGUCAUUUGGUCCUGAGGGUUUUAUAUCUUCUUUAGCAAUUCCAUGACUAUGCUUCUCAUCCUGCAGGGAAACUGACUUUAUAUACACACUUGUCUCCCAAUAAAAGUGAGAACCACCUCCUACAUAUCCCUUGUGUCUUCCAGACUCCAACUCAGAUGAAAUGCACUUCCUUCUCUUUCCUGAUUGUGCAGCGCCUCCAACUGGUUGUUUGUGAUGAAAACAUGAGUAUAAUUACAGACUCUUCUCUGACCCAUUUCUA